rnacentral:tRNA from 1 species
UGGGUUGUGGCUCAGAGGUAGAGCACGUGCUUAGCAUGCAUGAGGCACUGGGUUCGAUUCUCAGCACCACAU